CAGUCGCCACGGGAAUACGAAGGGUGCAAGCGUUAAUCGGAAUUACUGGGCGUAAAGCGUGCGUAGGUGGUGGUUUAAGUCCGUUGUGAAAGCCCUGGGCUCAACCUGGGAAUUGCAGUGGAUACUGGGUCACUAGAGUGUGGUAGAGGAUAGUGGAAUUUCCGGUGUAGCAGUGAAAUGCGUAGAGAUCGGAAGGAACAUCUGUGGCGAAGGCGACUAUCUGGGCCAACACUGACACUGAGGCACGAAAGCGUGGGGAGCAAACAGGAUUAGAUACCCGUGUAGUCCCUGUCUCUUAUAC
rnacentral:rRNA from 1 species